rnacentral:rRNA from 1 species
CCCCUAGAUGUUCUGGCCGCACGCGCGCUACACUGAACAGUUCAACAAGUCUUAACCUUGGCCGAUAGGUCUGGGUAAUCUUUGAACGCUGUUCGUGAUUGGGAUAGACCUUUGCAAUUAUGGGUCUUCAACGAGGAAUUCCUAGUAAACGCAAGUCAUCAGCUUGCAUUGAUUACGUCCCUGCCCUUUGUACACACCGCCCGUCGCACCUACCGAUUGAAUGGUCCGGUGAAAUCUCGGGACGGCGGCUUGGUCGCUUGCGUCCGACUGCUGAAACUUGAUUAAACCAUAUCAUUUAGAGGAAGGUGAANUCGUANCA